rnacentral:rRNA from 1 species
GCUUACGGCCAUACAACCCUGAACACGCCCGAUCUUGUCUGAUCUCGGAAGCUAAGCAGGGUCGGGCCUGGUCAGUACUUGGAUGGGAGACUGCCUCGGAAUACCAGGUGCCGUAAGCU